AGAGUUUGAUCCUGGCUCAGGACGAACGCUGGCGGCGUGCCUAAUACAUGCAAGUCGAGCGAGUCUCUUCGGAGGCUAGCGGCGGACGGGUGAGUAACACGUAGGCAACCUGCCUCUUAGAUCGGGAUAACAUAGGGAAACUUAUGCUAAUACCGAAUAGUUUCUUGGACUGCAUGGUCCAAGAAGGAAAGGCGGCUUCG
rnacentral:rRNA from 1 species